rnacentral:lncRNA from 1 species
CCGUGUCUUUCAGUAGGGCGCUGUACCACUCAGAGCAAAAGAGUAACGUAUCUGCCCGGAAUCCCUGCAGGUUACAGGACACAGUGGACUUCCAGGCAAGGAAAAGAAGGAAGAAACUGCCUGGACCUGUGCUGGUGUAUGUGGGGGUGUCACUACCCCAAGACAUCUGGAGGGGUAGGGGAGGUUCCACUGUAUCUGCAAGCUGCAACCGGGCCUGCCAGCUGUAGCUGAAGACUCCACUCCCAACAUAGAAGCAACCCCACUCUACCCUGGUUGAAAAUUUG